rnacentral:rRNA from 1 species
UACGGAGGGUGCAAGCGUUAUCCGGAUUUACUGGGUUAAAGGGUGCGUAGGCGGGCCUUUAAGUCAGUGGUGAAAGCUCCGAGCUUAACUCGGAAACUGCCAUUGAUACUAUUGGUCUUGAAUUCGGUCGAGGUUGGCGGAAUGUGUCGUGUAGCGGUGAAAUGCUUAGAUAUGACACAGAACACCGAUUGCGAAGGCAGCUAGCUAGACCGACAUUGACGCUGAGGCACGAAAGCGUGGGGAUCAAACAGG